CCUACGGGUGGCAGCAGUGGGGAAUAUUGCGCAAUGGGCGAAAGCCUGACGCAGCGACGCCGCGUGAGGGAUGAAGGUCUUCGGAUCGUAAACCUCUGUUAGCAGGGAAGAACGGUCACUGUGCUAAUCAGCAGUGAAUUGACGGUACCUGCAAAGGAAGCACCGGCUAACUCCGGGCCAGCAGCCGCGGUAAUACGGAGGGGGCGAGCGUUAAGCGGAAUUACUGGGCGUAAAGCGCUCGUAGGCGGUAUGUCAAAUCAAGGGGGAAAUCCCCGCGCUCAACGUGGGAACUGCCUUUGAAACUGGAGAACUGGAGUGUGUGAGAGGAUAGUGGAAUUCCAGGUGUAGGAGUGAAAUCCGUAGAUAUCUGGAGGAACAUCAGUGGCGAAGGCGACUAUCUGGCACAUAACUGACGCUGAGGAGCGAAAGCGUGGGUAGCAAACAGGAUUAGAUACCCCAGUAGUC
rnacentral:rRNA from 1 species